rnacentral:rRNA from 1 species
GACGAACGCUGGCGGCGUGCUUAACACAUGCAAGUCGAACGGAAAGGCCCUGCUUUUGUGGGGUGCUCGAGUGGCGAACGGGUGAGUAACACGUGAGUAACCUGCCCUUGACUUUGGGAUAACUUCAGGAAACUGGGGCUAAUACCGGAUAGGAGCUCCUGCUGCAUGGUGGGGGUUGGAAAGUUUCGGCGGUUGGGGAUGGACUCGCGGCUUAUCAGCUUGUUGGUGGGGUAGUGGCUUACCAAGGCUUUGACGGGUAGCCGGCCUGAGAGGGUGACCGGCCACAUUGGGACUGAGAUACGGCCCAGACUCCUACGGGAGGCAGCAGUGGGGAAUAUUGCACAAGGGGCGGAAGCCUGAUGCAGCAACGCCGCGUGCGGGAUGACGGCCUUCGGGUUGUAAACCGCUUUCGCCUGUGACGAAGCGUGAGGGACGGUAAUGGGUAAAGAGGCACCGGCUAACUACGU